rnacentral:lncRNA from 1 species
UUUCCGGUCUGGUGGUUUUCGAUUUUUGGCGUUCAGUAGUCGCGGUUGGUGGGUAACAACUGAGCUAAGAUGCUGCGGAAUGUGCUGGUAGGUAUCUUUGGGGAUUUUACUGGUACUGGAGUGUCGGGGCCGAGAGUGAGGUACCUUGACAAUAAGCCGUGCUGGAAAUGGGACCGAAGACAGCAGCGGAGUCACCUUGGCCGGGCGUCCUUUUCCCUGACCUUCCGACCACUCUCCCCUGGCUAUUUCUGGGUAGUUUAGAGGGAAGAACACGAUCACAUUUGGUUCCUAGUCACUACUGCUUACUGUUGCUUAUUGAUAGCUCUGAUGUAGGCUCUAGUGGGGGAUCUCGAACACCUGGAAACACUAGGCGGGAAGUGGCUUUUUGUUGUCAUUUUGUUUGUAUCAUAGUGAAAAAAAUAAACAUUUACACGAUUCCUACCUGAUUCAUAAGUAAGCUAAAGAACUAAAUUACACAAUUUUAGUUGGGAUUUAAUGGGUUUCAUGAUUGAAGUGUAAUGGUGAUUCUGAAUUACCUUUAACACUUGGUGAAUAAAUUUUAUUAAUGUACCAAUACCAUUUAGAAAGUGGAAUGCAUAUUUGUCAGAAUUAAACAAGACUUAGACCCCAUUACAUUUUUCUUAGAUAACUAGGAGUGUUCUAGCAUGUGCCCUCCACUGCAAAGUAAUUUUUCGGUGCCUUGACUAUCCUGUAGCCUAGCCUCUGCCUCCCUAGUGCUGGGAUUAAAGUCUCAAGCCACCGUUGCCUUGCCAGGAAUAGUUUUUUGACAUAGGCAAAUAUUAAAUUUCUGUAUGUCAUUGUAUUUUGUCCAGUGGAUAUAAAGUACUAUUGAGUACAAGU